rnacentral:misc_RNA from 1 species
CUGGAUGGCGCGAGGGAG